ACAAGGCAAUGUCCCAGCAAGGCUAAUCACAUGAACUACCUGCCAAUUUGGCUAUCCAAUCAAAAAUGCAACCAAACAAAUCAAUCUCAUUUGGGGUCAAAGGCAGUUACUUAAAGAAACAUUCAGUGAGCACAAACAGCUAAAGAAGAGAGAGCGAGUACAUAGCAUGAACUGCAUCCACCGAUCUGUGGAAGGAACACCUAGACACCCAGUUUGAUCCGACAUGCAAUUAAUUAGACGAUUAGAGCGAGCUAAGUGCUGCAUAGACCAGUAUUGCCUUGUCUGGCAUCAUGGUAGCAGCAAGGAAGCAGACCACAUAAUCAGGGAGCAAUCAUGCACAAUGGGGACACCAUGGCCUAGCUCGCUAGUACUAGCUGCAGCUGCAACUACAGUACUGCAGCUAUACUGCCACAGCUAGCUAUGCCAAGUGUUAAGAGGAGAGACCAAGGGAGAGAAGAAUCUGAUACUAUCUCACCUCAAUGGAGGCCAAGAGCUGCAAAAAUGAUGUGAAUCCUAACAGCGAUUGCAUUUCACAUGUUUGCAUGGUCACAGGUGUUAUGUGGAGGGAUGAAUUGGGGUGCUCAACGGGAAGGCGAGGCUGCAGGCCUCGCCGCCCCAGAGCUUGGGUAAGGUCAAACAGAGAAGAGGGGAGACUAGAGAUAGGUUUAACUUCUUUCUUAAUUAAUUCCACAUGACUGUGGUGCCUCUCCUUACAUAGAGCCAGCUCCUAACAAACAUCCUAACAAAAGGCCUAACAAACCUCCUACAACCUUAUCUAAUAAUGAGAGGGGCUGAGUUCUGCCCAUAACAUCUCCAUCCCUCCUUCGAGACAGCUCGUCCUCGAGCUGCGGUGGAAGCCAUGCCUAAAGGUUGAGGGGUGCCGAUCACCCAUGUCAUCCUAGUCCCCUUUCCCUCCUCCUUCGGAAGCAGCUCGCCCGCGAGCUGCAAGCUUGUCUUCACAUGAUGUCCUAUUAUUAAGCCUUUUACAUCUCGGCUCCUAACAUUAUUUGGAAAGAAUAAAUCUAAAAUUAUUUUGGUGUUCCAUGCCAUUCUUCUGCUGCCAAGCUCAGGUGGGCCCCAUCCAGAAGAACAUAGAGGAAGGACGCCAUACCAAUGUGACUGUGUGUUCCAAAAACCACAAAUGUCCUGCUUGCUGUCAUGUUUGCCAAAGGAGACCAAAGCUGUGUGGUGCCUAGACAACUGCAGCCCACUCCAAUAGCCCCUGGCCCAAGACAUGUUGUAUGGAUCUUGUCUUCUCAACAGAGGAUCACGUGACCAGCCAAAAAGACACGGUCCAGUUGACCCACCGAACAGCAGGGACGAACGAGGAACCGUUCCCAUAUCUCACGCCGCCACCAGAAGUCACAUCUCUUGCGCCGUGCAUGCCGCAAUCACUGCAUGAGGACGCGCCGUACCGGCUAUGCGCACCAGCCGCAUGUGAGAAGGGCUGACGCCGUGGGGUCGCGAGGAACCAGCUGCCUCCUGCGCCGACUCUCGUGGCACACCUGCUGCUCAUGUAGACGGCGCCACCCCCAGGAGGUUGACACGCGUGUUGCUCACGCUGUGCUGCAGCAGCUGCGCCCCCUUUCCCGGCGCGCGUGGCCCGCCUGGAUCCCACGCCGUUGGCGCCGCACGUGAUGCUCCCCGUCGUCGAGCAACGCUCAGCGUAAUCGCAGCCGCCGCUCGAGGAAGCUGCUGGAAGAUCCCUCGCUGCUGCUGUGGUCGCAGAAGGGAACGGUGACGACGCGACACGAUGGUCUUCCAUGGCGAUGGCUGAGUUGAUGGUGCCCCAGCGAGCGCCGACCGGACUGUUGUGAGGUGUGACAGCACUGCCGCAGCCUCGGAUGCGAACGACAACUGAGAAAAUGGCACUACAGCCAGGGGCUGCAGCACCUCCGCCGAUUGGACCGAUGGCGGUGAAGAGGGCAUCGUCAUCACCGGUUCCUCCACCGCAGCCGCGAACAGGGACGAUGGCAGAGAAGGCGGUGCCGUCGCGAGUGGCGGAGAGGGCGUCGUCGUCGUAGUUUCCAACGCCACCCCCUUGGCCUCAAAACCCGCACGGAGUGCCAACACCAAUUCUGUCACCUUGUCGAGCCCAGCUGUGAUCUCCGUGAUGGAGGUCUGCAUGGCCCUGGAGGAUUGGCGCAGCAUGUGGAGGUCAUGGAUGGCAGGCAUGGUGAAUGGCGUGGUGGGGUGGAUGUUAUGUGGAGGAAUGAAUUGGGGUGCUCAACGGGAAGGCGAGGCCUGCAGCCUUGCCGCCCCAGAGUUUGGGUGAGGUCGAACAGAGAAGAGGGGAGACUAGAGAUAGGUUUAACUUCUUUCUUGAUUAAUUCCACAUGACUGGUGCCUCUCCUUAUAUAGAGCCGGCUCCUAACAAACAUCCUAACAACCUUAUCUAAUAAAACCUAACAAACCUCCUACAGCCUUAUCUAAUAAAGCCUAACAACCUUAUCUAAUAAUGAGAGGGGCUGAGUUCUGCCCAUAACAACAGGCCAAUCUGAUCAAAAGUAAUCUAACUCCGUUAGUUUAUGAUUGUAACAUCCUAAGUUCCACUAAUUAAAUUUAUCAGUAUUUUUCACAUAUUUUCCUUUAUUUGGAUAGGAAUGUGCUAGGUUAGCCUAAAGAUAAAAAAAUAAAUAUCAAAUGCAUGCAAUAUACAUAGUUCGUAGGAAAUCCGCCAUUGUUUAAAAAUAGCAAUGAGAAAAAUAUGGUACAUUUGCACUUGAAAAUUCAAGGAGACGUAUAACCGACUCCUCUCCAAAGUUAUUUGUUCAAAUCCCACACCAUAGUGGAUCUUUUAGAUAUCAAAAUAUUUCACAUAAAAUCACGCCAUUACGUAAGUAUAAAUGUACGGUAGUAAUAUCUGAAUUUACCA
rnacentral:lncRNA from 1 species